AAACUAAGUCUAAUAAUUUCAGACUAGUAGUCAGAGGCAGUAGUGCCUGAGAUCCCACAUUGCAGAUAUACAACUAUGAGGCUGUAAGCACAG